CAGUAGCCACGGGAAUACGUAGGGUGCAAGCGUUGUCCGGAAUCAUUGGGCGUAAAGCGCGCGUAGGUGGCCGUUUAAGUCCGCUGUGAAAGUCAAAGGCUCAACCUUUGAAAGCCGGUGGAUACUGGAUGGCUAGAGUACGGAAGAGGCGAGUGGAAUUCCUGGUGUAGCGGUGGAAUGCGCAGAUAUACGGAGGAACACCGGUGGCGAAAGCGGCUCUCUGGCUUGUAACUGACGCUGAGGCUCGAAAGCGUGGGGAGCAAACAGGAUUAGAUACCCCCGUAGUCCCUGUCUCUUAUAC
rnacentral:rRNA from 1 species